GGGCCCGUAGCUCAACGGUAGAGCGCCAGCCUUUUAAGCUGGGCGUUGUGGGUUCGAAUCCCACCGGGCUCACCA
rnacentral:tRNA from 2 species